UACCAGCUCUCCGAGUGGUAGGGAUGUUUAUUGGGCUUAAAGCGUCCGUAGCCGGCUUAGCAAGUCACCUGUUAAAUUCAGCGACCUAAUCGUUGAGCCGCGGGAGACACUACUAGGCUAGGAGGCGGGAGAGGCCGACGGUAUUCUCGGGGUAGGGAUGAAAUCCUAUAAUCCCGGGAGGACCACCAGUGGCGAAGGCUGUCGGCUAGAACGCGCUCGACGGUGAGGGACGAAAGCUGGGGGAGCGAACCGGAUUAGAUACCCGGGUAGUCCCAGCUGUAAACGAUGCGGGCUAGGUGUUGGGGUGGCUACGAGCCACUUCAGUGCCGCAGGGAAGCCAUUAAGCCCGCCGCCUGGGGAGUACGGCCGCAAGGCUGAAACUUAAAGGAAUUGGCGGGGGAGCACCACAAGGCGUGAAGCUUGCGGUUC
rnacentral:rRNA from 1 species